rnacentral:rRNA from 1 species
AGUGAACGCUGGCGGUAGGCCUAACACAUGCAAGUCGAACGGCAGCACGGGAGAGCUUGCUCUCUGGGUGGCGAGUGGCGGACGGGUGAGGAAUACAUCGGAAUCUACUCUGUCGUGGGGGAUAACGUAGGGAAACUUACGCUAAUACCGCAUACGACCUACGGGUGAAAGCAGGGGACCUUCGGGCCUUGCGCGAAUGAAUGAGCCGAUGUCGGAUUAGCUAGUUGGCGGGGUAAAGGCCACCAAGGCGACGAUCCGUAGCUGGUUUGAGAGGAUGAUCAGCCACACUGGAACUGAGACACGGUACAGACUCCUACGGGAGGCAGCAGUGGGGAAUAUUGGACAAUGGGCGCAAGCCUGAUCCAGCCAUACCGCGUGGGUGAAGAAGGCCUUCGGGUUGUAAAGCCCUUUUGUUGGGAAAGAAAUCCAGCUGGCUAAUACCCGGUUGGGAUGACGGUACCCAAAGAAUAAGCACCGGCUAACUUCGUGCCAGCCGCCGCCGCAG